AUGCCAAUCACUCAGAGAUCUUACUAAAAUGAGUAUUCUAAUUUAGUAGAUUUGGGGGUGGAGCUGAGAUUCCACAUUUCUAACAAGCUCCCAAGUGAUACCAAA
rnacentral:pre_miRNA from 1 species